rnacentral:RNase_P_RNA from 1 species
UGAGUAAGACAGGCAAUCGCGGACUAUGGCGGUCCGAGGAAAGUCCGAACUCCAUAGAGCAGAAUGCUGGCUAACGGCCAGUGGGGGUGACCCCAAGGAAAGUGCCACAGAAACAAUACCGCCCGCCAGCAAUGGUGGGUAAGGGUGAAAUGGCGGGGUAAGAGCCCACCGGCAGCCGGGCGACCGGCUGGCCGGGUAAACCCCAUUCGGAGCAAGACCGAGCAGAGGGAGGAGUAGACGCACCCUCAUGCGUCUACUCGCAGGUUGCUCGCCUGUUAACCUUCGGGUUGGUCGCUUGAGGCGGUGGGUAACCGCCGUCCCAGAUAGAUGAUUGCCCCUCGCGCGCGCGCAAGAGCGCGCGGGGACAGAAUUCGGCUUACGGCUUGCUCGCACC